rnacentral:rRNA from 1 species
CACCGCGGUUAGACGAAAGGCUUAAAUUGAAAGUUACCGGCGUAAAGCGUGGUUUAGAAAAAAUUCAAACUAAAGUCGAACAUUUUCAAAACUGUUAUACGUACUCGAAAAUAAGAAGCACUAUCACGAAAGUGACUUUAAUAAAACUGACUCCACGAAAGUUGUGAAA